rnacentral:rRNA from 1 species
GUAGGGUGCGAGCGUUAAUCGGAAUUACUGGGCGUAAAGCGUGCGCAGGCGGCCUCUUAAGCCAGAUGUGAAAUCCCCGGGCUUAACCUGGGAACUGCGUUUGGAACUGGGAGGCUAGAGUGUGGAAGAGGGGGGUGGAAUUCCCGGUGUAGCAGUGAGAUGCGUAGAUAUCGGGAGGAACACCAAUGGCGAAGGCAGCCCCCUGGGCUAACACUGACGCUCAUGCACGAAAGCGUGGGGAGCAAACAGGAUUAGAUACCCUGGUAGUCCACGCCCUAAACGAUGUCAACUGGUUGUUGGGGGAGUCAAUCCCUUAGUAACGAAGCUAACGCGUGAAGUUGACCGCCUGGGGAGUACGGCCGCAAGGUUA